rnacentral:rRNA from 1 species
UACGAAGGGGGCUAGCGUUGCUCGGAAUCACUGGGCGUAAAGCGCACGUAGGCGGCUUUCUAAGUCAGGGGUGAAAUCCUGGAGCUCAACUCCAGAACUGCCUUUGAUACUGGAGAGCUUGAGUCCGGAAGAGGUGAGUGGAACUCCGAGUGUAGAGGUGAAAUUCGUAGAUAUUCGCAAGAACACCAGUGGCGAAGGCGGCUCACUGGCCCGGUACUGACGCUGAGGAGCGAAAGCGUGGGUAGCAAACAGG